CUGAGAAUUCUCGACAGUGGGCA
rnacentral:piRNA from 1 species